GAUGCGAAACGCCGCGCUUGCCGGAGAUAGCAUUGAGGGCCCUUCCGCGGCCCGGCGUUUCGUCUCUUGGGACGAUUUUGUGCGUUCCCUCGGUCCCCGUGGGGCCCAUAGUCCUCACUUCUGCCACCCCAGAGUCGUCGCGCUUCACUAGACCCGCUCCCUCCACUGUCCCGGAGGCCCACAGACAUUCCCGCAUUCUGAGGCUCGCUCCCGUCCCGUGCCGCUGUUACCGGCCUCCGGCCCCGGCUCAUACAAGCAGGAGCACAUCGCUCUUUUAUGAAAGCCCUUCAACAUUUAACGUUUAAAUGCGAGGGCCGACCUGUGACAGACCUGGUUGGGAGUGCACGUCGACUAGGAUCUUCCUCGCCUCGGGCUUCCUUGGAGAGGCCGCCGGCUGGUCUGAGAUUUGGGUCCAGUUACAGUAAAUCCAGUCAACGCGAGUGUGUCAUUCCCCAGCUAUGCCUGUCUGCCUGGAUGCAGCCUCGCGGUGGACAGUGGGCUGAUGUUUUGCCGUGGGAGCGCCACGGACGGGAGAGGGAGUGAUAAUGAUUGUCAACCUAAUAACAGGCUAACUGAAAAUGAUAUUUAUUUGGGAAUAGGGCGUUGGCGAAUAUGCGUGCCAUAGUAAACGAUUUGCGCAUUCAGGAAAGUAAUGGUUUUUAAAGAAAAAAUGAAGAGGAAGAUAAUGGUUUGGAAAUAAUUAACCUUGGCUACAAAGAACAGUAACAAGUGUACUCCCGGCCGGGCGCGGUGGCUCACGCCUGUAAUCCCAGCACUUUGGGAGGCCGAGGCGGGCGGAUCACGAGGUCGGGAGAUCCAGACCGUCCUGCCUAACCCGGUGAAACCCCGUCUCUACUAAAAAUACAAAAAAUUAGCCGGGCGUGGUGGCGGGCGCCUGUAGUCCCAGCUACUCGGGAGGCUGAGGCAGGAGAAUGGCGUGAACCCGGGAGGCGGAGCUUGUAGUGAGCCGAGAUCGCGCCACUGCCCUCCAGCCUGGGCGACAGAGCCAGACUCCGUCUAAAAAAAAAAAAAAACAAGUGUACUCCCGUUCCAGGGUUGGACAGGCAGUUGCUGGGCAGCUGUCCUUGCUGAAGUAUUUUUUGUGUAAGAUUGCCUUAGUGCAAGGUUGUGGUUUUUGCAGAAUCUUGUGAUAGUUUUUCUUAUUAUUGAUUCAUGAGAAUUCUCCAUGGCCUUUCCCAGCUGUCUUUGUCAAGGUAUUUUUUAAACAUAAGUGAGUCCACUUUUAUUUGACAACUUGGGUAUUUUCCCCUUUUGAUUGAGAUCUUUCUCCAAAUGCAUCACUAAUGAGUCAUCCUGUAAUUAGGUUUUGAUAGUCCCCGUGCUGGGAUGAACUUGUCCCAGAUAGCUGGUCUGGUCCCACACUGGAGAGAGUGGCUGCUGGGAGUCAUUGUCAAAACCCUUUUUUACCAUAUUUGAGCAUCAAAGGAGGUUUGAAGGGUGUGGCUCUCAGGCUAAGUCUAACCUGGAGUCCAUUAUUAACUUCAACUUUUGUCACUUCUGUAGUCUUUCUAUCAUCUCAAAGUGCUGUGUCAGCAUUAUUCUGUUAGAAAUUGUACUUGUAGCCGGGCGCGGUGGCUCACGUCCGUAAUCCCAGCACUUUGGGAGGCCGAGGCGGGUGGAACACGAGGUCAAGAGAUCGAGACCAUCCUGGCCGACAUGGUGAAACCCUGUCUCCACUACAAAUACAAAAGUUAGCCGGAUGUAGUGGUGCGCACUUGUAGUCCCAGCUACUCAGGAGGCUGAGGCAGGAGAAUCACCUAAACCCAGGAGGCGGAGGUUGCUAUGAGCUGAGAUUGUGCCUAUGCAGUUCACCCUGGCAACAGAGUGAGAUUCCAUCUCAAAAAAAUAAAAAAAAAGAAAUUGUCCUUUUGCAAAAUAUGGCAAUGAAUAAGUUUAAAAGGGGAAAAUACAAGGUAAAAUCAAUAAUAAUAUGACUAUCCCAGUUUGCAUAUUGGUUUUGACCCAUGAACCUAGGCUUAAAGGAAAGCAAUUAAAAAGAAAAAAAUUAGAAAACAAAAAUAGAAAAAUAGAGAUUAAAGGAAGCCAAUUGAAUAAAUAAAAUGGCCAUAGAAAUUACACG
ensembl:lncRNA novel transcript